UACAGAGGUCCCGAGCGUUGUUCGGAUUCACUGGGCGUAAAGGGUGCGUAGGUGGUUGGGUAAGUUUGAUGUGAAAGCUCAGGGCUUAACCCUGAAAUGGCAUUGAAUACUACUUAACUGGAGGUUUGGAGGGGGGACUGGAAUUCUUGGUGUAGCAGUGAAGUGCGUAGAUAUCAAGAGGAACACCAGUGGCGAAGGCGAGUCCCUGGACAACACCUGACACUGAGGCACGAAAGCUAGGGGAGCAAACAGG
rnacentral:rRNA from 1 species